AAUUGAUGCAUACAAGGAAUGGCUUGAAAUCCUGCAACAAGAGCAACCUGAAACGGAAUUUAGAGAUGAUUAUAGGGACGAAACCAUCGAGACAUAUAAAGAAUGGUUGAGGCGUAAAGGCUAUCUUAGAGACAUCUAUGCAUAUGCACAAGAUGAUGAUGCCAACGACAAUGUUCGAGUUGCUGCUGAUGAACACCGUACACAUAGCUCGUCACCAAAAAAAGAAUGGC